rnacentral:lncRNA from 1 species
GUUCAUUGUGCAUUUCUUAGAAAACAUAUUCUUAUCAUCUUUUUGAAGAUCCAAGAGCAUGUCUAAGCAUUGAUUCAUUUUGUUUAUUCUUGAGAUCCAACAACCACAAAUUGGGAAAAACAUCAAAGAUCCAAUAAUCCGAAACAUCUAUCUUCCUUAAUCUUUUGAGGAGGAACUCUCUCACCGGGGGAUUGAGAGAGGUAAAUUGAAGUACAGUUACAAGUACAAGAACUUGUGGUUCUUGAUGGUCCACUUUGGAGAGACACUUAGUACAGAAUAUGAGACAGCUGAUUGGGCUGUAGGAGGUAGACUUGGAGGUCUAGCAGAAGGCUAGAGGAAUCUACUACAGUAGGAGGCUACAGGAGGUAGAUCAGGAGUUCUAGUGCUAGAGGUGUCUACAGCAGUAGAUCGUAAGGCUAUGGCAGCAGGUCUUAACGGGUACAAGGAUAGGCUUGUCAUUGUUUGCUCUGAAUUGUCUAUAGUGGAGGUAACUGGUUU